GAUGACGCUGGCGGCGUGCCUAACACAUGCAAGUCGAGCGCGUCUGAUUUGAUGCUUGCAUUGAUGAAAGAUGAGCGGCGGACGGGUGAGUAACGCGUGGGUAACCUGCCCUAUACACAUGGAUAACAUACUGAAAAGUUUACUAAUACAUGAUAAUAUAUAUUUACGGCAUCGUAGAUAUAUCAAAGUGUUAGCGGUAUAGGAUGGACCCGCGUCUGAUUAGCUAGUUGGUGAGAUAACUGCCCACCAAGGCGACGAUCAGUAGCCGACCUGAGAGGGUGAUCGGCCACAUUGGAACUGAGACACGGUCCAAACUCCUACGGGAGGCAGCAGUGGGGAAUAUUGCACAAUGGGUGCAAGCCUGAUGCAGCAACGCCGCGUGAACGAUGAAGGUCUUCGGAUCUUUAAGUUCUGUUGCAGGGGAACAUAAUGACGGUACCCCGUGAGGAAGCCCCGGUUCACUACGUGCCAACCUCCGCGGUAAUACCUAGGGGGCUAGCGUUUCCCCGGAUUUACUGGGCGUAAAGGGUGCGUAGGUGGUCUUUCUAGUCCGUGGUUAAAGGUUACCGCUCAACCCUUGUUAGCCUCC
rnacentral:rRNA from 1 species